rnacentral:rRNA from 2 species
GCAGUCGAGCGAACAGAAGGGAGCUUGCUCCCGGAUGUUAGCGGCGGACGGGUGAGUAACACGUGGGUAACCUGCCUGUAAGACUGGGAUAACUCCGGGAAACCGGAGCUAAUACCGGAUAGUUCCUUGAACCGCAUGGUUCAAGGAUGAAAGACGGUUUCGGCUGUCACUUACAGAUGGACCCGCGGCGCAUUAGCUAGUUGGUGGGGUAAUGGCUCACCAAGGCGACGAUGCGUAGCCGACCUGAGAGGGUGAUCGGCCACACUGGGACUGAGACACGGCCCAGACUCCUACGGGAGGCAGCAGUAGGGAAUCUUCCGCAAUGGACGAAAGUCUGACGGAGCAACGCCGCGUGAGUGAUGAAGGUUUUCGGAUCGUAAAGCUCUGUUGUUAGGGAAAAACAAGUGCGAGAGUAACUGCUCGCACCUUGACGGUACCUAACCAGAAAGCCACGGCUAACUACGUGCCAGCAGCCGCGGUAAUACGUAGGUGGCAAGCGUUGUCCGGAAUUAUUGGGCGUAAAGGGCUCGCAGGCGGUUUCUUAAGUCUGAUGUGAAAGCCCCCGGCUCAACCGGGGAGGGUCAUUGGAAACUGGGAAACUUGAGUGCAGAAGAGGAGAGUGGAAUUCCACGUGUAGCGGUGAAAUGCGUAGAGAUGUGGAGGAACACCAGUGGCGAAGGCGACUCUCUGGUCUGUAACUGACGCUGAGGAGC